rnacentral:rRNA from 1 species
GACGAACGCUGGCGGCGUGCUUAACACAUGCAAGUCGAGCGGAGCGGCGAACGGGUGAGUAACGCGUGAGUAACUGCCCACCUCUCUGGGAUAACAGUUGGAAACGGCUGCUAAUACCGGAUAGUGGGGGCUGACUCGCGUCCUAUCAGCUUGUUGGUGGGGUAGUGGCCUACCAAGGCGACGACGGGUAGCCGGGCUGAGAGGGCGACCGGCCACAUUAGGCGGAGAUACGGCCCAAACUCCUACGGGGGGCAGCAGUGGGGAAUAUUGCACAAUGGGGGAAACCCUGAUGCAGCACCGCCGGGUGCGGGAUGACGGCCUUCGGGGUGUAAACUCCUUUCACCAUCGACGCGGUAGAUGGAGAAGAAGCACCGGCUAACUACGUGCCAGCAGCCGCGGUAAUAC